rnacentral:rRNA from 1 species
AACGAACGCUGGCGGCAUGCCUAACACAUGCAAGUCGAACGAAGCCUUCGGGCUUAGUGGCGCACGGGUGCGUAACGCGUGGGAAUCUGCCCCUUGCUUCGGAAUAACAGUUAGAAAUGACUGCUAAUACCGGAUGAAGUCUUCGGACCAAAGAUUUAUCGGCAAGGGAUGAGCUCGCGUAGGAUUAGGUAGUUGGUGGGGUAAAGGCCUACCAAGCCGACGAUCCUUAGCUGGUCUGAGAGGAUGAUCAGCCACACUGGGACUGAGACACGGCCCAGACUCCUACGGGAGGCAGCAGUGGGGAAUAUUGGACAAUGGACGCAAGUCUGAUCCAGCAAUGCCGCGUGAGUGAUGAAGGCCUUAGGGUUGUAAAGCUCUUUUACCAGGGAUGAUAAUGACAGUACCUAGAGAAUAAGCGCCGGCUAACUCCGUG